rnacentral:rRNA from 1 species
GAGUUUGAUCCUGGCUCAGAUUGAACGCUGGCGGCAGGCUUAACACAUGCAAGUCGAGCGGGGGAGAUUGCUUCGGUAAUUGACCUAGCGGCGGACGGGUGAGUAAUACUUAGGAAUCUGCCUAUUAAUGGGGGACAACAUCUCGAAAGGGAUGCUAAUACCGCAUACGCCCUACGGGGAAAGCAGGGGAUCACUUGUGACCUUGCGUUAAUAGAUGAGCCUAAGUCGGAUUAGCUAGUUGGUGGGGUAAAGGCCUACCAAGGCGACGAUCUGUAGCGGGUCUGAGAGGAUGAUCCGCCACACUGGGACUGAGACACGGCCCAGACUCCUACGGGAGGCAGCAGUGGGGAAUAUUGGACAAUGGGGGGAACCCUGAUCCAGCCAUGCCGCGUGUGUGAAGAAGGCCUUAUGGUUGUAAAGCACUUUAAGCGAGGAGGAGGCUCCUGUAGUUAAUACCUACAGAGAGUGGACGUUACUCGCAGAAUAAGCACCGGCUAACUCUGUGCCAGCCGCCGCGG